GAGUAACCUGCCCCAGACUCUGGAAUAACCCCGGGAAACCGGAGCUAAUACCGGAUACGAGACGAAGCUGCAUGGCUAUCGUCUGGAAAGUUUUUCGGUCUGGGAUGGACUCGCGGCCUAUCAGCUUGUUGGUGAGGUAACGGCUCACCAAGGCGACGACGGGUAGCCGGCCUGAGAGGGCGACCGGCCACACUGGGACUGAGACACGGCCCAGACUCCUACGGGAGGCAGCAGUGGGGAAUAUUGCACAAUGGGCGAAAGCCUGAUGCAGCGACGCCGCGUGAGGGAUGACGGCCUUCGGGUUGUAAACCUCUUUCAGCAGGGAAGAAGCGAAAGUGACGGUACCUGCAGAAGAAGCACCGGCUAACUACGUGCCAGCAGCCGCGGUAAUACGUAGGGUGCGAGCGUUGUCCGGAAUUAUUGGGCGUAAAGAGCUUGUAGGCGGUUUGUCGCGUCUGCCGUGAAAAUUCGAGGCUCAACCUCGAACUUGCGGUGGGUACGGGCAGACUAGAGUGUGGUAGGGGAGACUGGAAUUCCUGGU
rnacentral:rRNA from 1 species